AAAGCGACGAUCAGUAGCCGACCUGAGAGGGUGACCGGCCACAUUGGGACUGAGACACGGCCCAAACUCCUACGGGAGGCAGCAGUGGGGAAUAUUGCACAAUGGGGGAAACCCUGAUGCAGCGACGCCGCGUGAGCGAAGAAGUAUUUCGGUAUGUAAAGCUCUAUCAGCAGGGAAGAAGAAUGACGGUACCUGACUAAGAAGCACCGGCUAAAUACGUGCCAGCAGCCGCGGUAAUACGUAUGGUGCAAGCGUUAUCCGGAUUUACUGGGUGUAAAGGGAGCGCAGGCGGUACGGCAAGUCUGAUGUGAAAUCCCGGGGCUCAACCCCGGUACUGCAUUGGAAACUGUCGGACUAGAGUGUCGGAGGGGUAAGUGGAAUUCCUAGUGUAGCGGUGAAAUGCGUAGAUAUUAGGAGGAACACCAGUGGCGAAGGCGGCUUACUGGACGAUUACUGACGCUGAGGCUCGAAAGCGUGGGGAGCAAACAGGAUUAGAUACCCUGGUAGUCCACGCCGUAAACGAUGAAAAAAGGGUGUCGGCGAGCACUGCUCUUUUGGCGCCGCAGCAAACGCAAUAAGUAUUCCACCUGGGGAGUACGUUCGCAAGAAUGCAACUCAAAGGAAGGGACGGGGACCUGCACAACCGGCGGAGCAUGUCGUGUAAUUAGAAGCAACCAGAAGAACAUUACCAAUUCUUCACAUCCCACCGACAGAGUAUGCAAUGUACCUUCUUUUCGGAGCAGCGGUGACAGGUGGCGCAUGGUGGUCGUCAGCUUGUCUCGUGACAAGGUGGGCUAACUCCCGCACCGAGCGCAACCACUUUUUUUCGUAGCCAGCGGGUCGCCCGGGCACUCUAGGGAGACUGCCAGGGAUAAUCUGGAGGAAGGUGGGGAUGACGCUAAAUCAUCAUGCCCCUUAUGACUUGGGCUACACACGCGCCACAAUGGAGUAAACAAAGGGAAGCAACUCCCGCAGAGGGGGAGCAAAUCUCAAAAACAAUGUGUCAGUUCGGCCCGUAGUAUGCAAUUCGGAUACAAGAAGAAGGAAUCGCUUGUAUUCGCGAAUCAGAAUGUCGCGGCGAACCCGUUCCCGUCUCCCGCCCAAAGCGCCCUUC
rnacentral:rRNA from 1 species